rnacentral:ncRNA from 1 species
CCUGCAAUUCCGUUUGCAGUAGUCUGAGGGUACGUGCAUUAUGAGUAAUCAUUUUGUGCGAAGCUACCCUGACAAAGUACCCUUUCCGAAAGGAACAGACCAAAGCGUGAGCCGAGGUCAAUGGCGGAUAACAUCGUUCUGCCGAGG